rnacentral:rRNA from 1 species
GGGCCCUACUAGAAGUGGUCAUGCAGUCGAGCGGAACGAUCCCAGCUUGCUGGGAGGCGUCGAGCGGCGGACGGGUGAGUAAUGCAUAGGAAUCUGCCCGGUAGUGGGGGAUAACUUGAGGAAACUCAAGCUAAUACCGCAUACGCCCUACGGGGGAAAGCAGGGGCUCUUCGGACCUUGCGCUAUCGGAUGAGCUUAUGUCGGAUUAGCUGGUUGGUGAGGUAAUGGCUCACCAAGGCGACGAUCCGUAGCUGGUCUGAGAGGAUGAUCAGCCACAUCGGGACUGAGACACGGCCCGAACUCCUACGGGAGGCAGCAGUGGGGAAUAUUGGACAAUGGGCGAAAGCCUGAUCCAGCCAUGCCGCGUGUGUGAAGAAGGCCCUCGGGUUGUAAAGCACUUUCAGUGAGGAAGAAGGCUUGUCGGUUAAUACCCGACAGGAAGGACAUCACUCACAGAAGAAGCACCGGCUAACUCCGUGCCAGCAGCCGCGGUAAUACGGAGGGUGCAAGCGUUAAUCGGAAUUACUGGGCGUAAAGCGUGCGUAGGCGGCUUGGUAAGCCGGUUGUGAAAGCCCCGGGCUCAACCUGGGAAUGGCAUCC